rnacentral:tRNA from 1 species
GGCGUGGUGGCAGAGUGGUCUAAUGCGCAAGACUUGAAUUUCCAAGAGAUCUUGUUCCUUCGGGAGCGUCCGUUCGAACCGGGCCCACGUCG